rnacentral:lncRNA from 1 species
UUAAUUGUGCAGAAGUAAAGCCAACAUAAGGAAUGUAAAAAUCAAGUCUUGCUAGUUAAAUAUAAGAUAAGAAGAACCAAUUACAAGGAAAGCAAAAAAGACUUAUUUAAGGAGUAUGGUGUUAAAAAGUAAAUGAAGUGAAAAUUUUUAAGUGCUAAACUCUACCGGUGUAAAUUGGGCGCCUGGCAUGUUGUUUUGAACUUGACUCAACAUAAAAAGAUAUUUAUUUCCAGACUGUCCUUGGCUCCAAAGAAGGAGGCAAAGACACACUUGAGGCCU